rnacentral:tRNA from 1 species
UCUAAUAUGGCAGAUUAGUGCAUUGGAUUUAAACCCCAAAAAUAAAGUUUUUCUUUUUUUAGAA